rnacentral:rRNA from 1 species
UGGGGAAUUUUCCGCAAUGGGCGAAAGCCUGACGGAGCAAUCUCGCGUGAGGGAUGACUGCCUAUGGGUUGUAAACCUCUUUUUUCAGGGAGGAAUCAAUGACGUGUACCUGAAGAAUAAGCAUCGGCUAACU